AAACAUCUAAUUUCUCAUUGUAGAGUUGAAAAAAAAUAGGGACAUGUAAAUGCAUUAUUUUCCCUUGCAGAAAAUGACGCGACAGGACGUGCGAUGUAAAACGUGGAGGGUAUUGGUAAGAAAGAACUAACCAAGAAGGUAGCUAGCUAGCUUCAUUUGUUCCAACCACUAGUAGUAUGGGUUUGACUUGCACUGCAAAUUGCAAUCCAUGAAGUAAAAUAACAGCAAUAGCAAUAGCAUAAGCAGCAAAAGCAAAGCAAUUAAUCAAUCAUGUUGGUGGUGUUUCUGGACUCUCCCAUUUCCAUAAUCCUUUCACUCCUUCUCCUCUUCUUCCUCCUUCGCUUCGCUCUUCUCUUCUUCUUCCUCCUCCUCCUCUUCCUUCUCUGCGCCAACCUAGUCCACCUCAUCUUCCACAUCCUCUCCUACUGAUGAUUCCCAUUCAAAACGAGCGGGCAUGUGCAGGAGAUGGAUACGAGGGCCACACCUUGUGUACUGUUAUUUUGUUUUCAUCAUUCUAUUUUAAGAAAACCAAAAGUAAGUAUUGGCUCGUGGUUGUUGUAUGCACUUGAGUUGUAAUUUUUUUUCAUCUGAUAAAUAUUAAUUUGUUAGUUUUGUUAUAAAUGUAAUUUCUCUCACCUCCCUUCCCCUUUUCCAAUCAUAAGAUCAAUCUUAUAUCUCUUUUGUAUUGUAAUUUGUCCUCAAACCUUAAUUAAUUGUGUUUCUAAACCCUAAACCCUACUUAAUUAGACGCAUAAUGCAUGCUGUGAAUUACUACCUGCAAUCUAAUAUACUGUUUUCUUC